UUGAACGCUGGCGGCAUGCCUUACACAUGCAAGUCGAACGGUAACGCGGGGCAACCUGGCGACGAGUGGCGAACGGGUGAGUAAUACAUCGGAACGUGCCCAGUAGUGGGGGAUAGCCCGGCGAAAGCCGGAUUAAUACCGCAUACGACCUAAGGGAGAAAGCGGGGGAUCGCAAGACCUCGCGCGAUUGGAGCGGCCGAUAUCGGAUUAGCUAGUUGGUGAGGUAAAGGCUCACCAAGGCGACGAUCCGUAGCGGGUCUGAGAGGACGACCCGCCACACUGGAACUGAGACACGGUCCAGACUCCUACGGGAGGCAGCAGUGGGGAAUUUUGGACAAUGGGGGAAACCCUGAUCCAGCCAUUCCGCGUGAGUGAAGAAGGCCUUCGGGUUGUAAAGCUCUUUCAGCAGGAACGAAACGGUCGGCUUUAAUAAAGUCGGCUAAUGACGGUACCUGCAGAAGAAGCACCGGCUAACUACGU
rnacentral:rRNA from 1 species